AGUCACUGACAUUAGAUACCCCUGUAGUCCAGGGUGUAAACGCUGCAGACUUGGUGUUGGGAACCCUUCGGGGGUGCUCAGUGCCGGAGAGAAGUUGUUAAGUCUGCUACUUGGGAGUACGUCCGCAAGGAUGAAACUUAAAGGAAUUGGCGGGGGAGCACCGCAACGGGAGGAGCGUGCGGUUUAAUUGGAUUCAACGCCGAAAAACCCACCAGCAGCGACUGUUACAUGAAAGUCAGGUUGAUGACCUUACUAGAUUUUCAG
rnacentral:rRNA from 1 species